UACGGGGGGGGCAAGCGUUGUUCGGAAUUACUGGGCGUAAAGGGCUCGUAGGUGGCCAACUAAGUCAGACGUGAAAUCCCUCGGCUUAACCGGGGAACUGCGUCUGAUACUGGAUGGCUUGAGGUUGGGAGAGGGAUGCGGAAUUCCAGGUGUAGCGGUGAAAUGCGCAGAUAUCAGGAGGAACACCGGUGGCGAAGGCGGAUCUCUGGGCCUGUCCUGACGCUGAGGCGCGAAAGCUAGGGGAGCGAACAGG
rnacentral:rRNA from 1 species